CUCAUAGGUGGGAGAUAAAAUAUACAUACUUACAAGACAUUUAUUCUAUAGUCAAACCAUGGAUCUAAAGAAACAAGCCAAUAAGUUUAAUCAAGAUGUGCAUGUGUGGCGAAUGAAUGGUGUAUGAUGGUGGUGAUGAUAAUGGUGAAAGUCUAAUUCUACUUUUGCUCUUUGAGGGGACACAUACCUUUCUUGCUUUUUGAAAUGUUGUGAGGAGAAUGAGAUGCUCUUCUUUUUUUUCUCUCAGGUGGGUAUCUUGUACCCCUAAUUCUACUGUCGGACACUUAUCCAUUUUUACCUCUCGUCUCACUUUUUCUUUCAUUCGAGGUUCCGGGCACUUGCCCCUUUUAUUUCUUCGUAUCUCUUUUUUUUAGAGCACCCAUCUCAUGAGAUAGUAUAGCAAGUGGUAGUAAUAAGAUAACUUGAGCAUUUAUUUCACACGGGAAAAACAGAAAUAUUUUUGGUUAUUCUCUCCCGGAGUAGGAGUAGAAUAUUUUUGGUGGUUCUAGAGAUGGAAAUGGGUGGAUAUAUGUGGAUGGUACUUCCGGAAUAAAAGUAGCAUAUGUGAGUGAACGUGCAAGUGAAUCUUGAUUUUAACCACAUGACAAGCACCUAAGGGUCUACACAGCUUGACCACACUCAAUGCUCAUAAGCAGUAAAUAGUAAAUGUGUGGCUCAGAGUCUAGCAAGCAUGUAUAUAUGGCUGUGGUAGGAAUUUAAACUCUCAUCAUACAGGAACUCAUCAUGUGUUAUUUUAAAGAUUUUCAAAGAUAAAAUUCUCCAGAAUUCUAGCAUAUCUAGGAACAGAUAAACAGC
rnacentral:lncRNA from 1 species